rnacentral:lncRNA from 1 species
AUGGAGGACCCAGUCCAGGGAGGGAUGGCAACUGAUGGAGAAACGGCCCAAGAAGCCAAAAGUGGAACUGGCCCUCCCUGGCUUGCCCGGGCUGAGACUCCUGACUUCAGCACUGAAUUUGGCGGCCACAGAACGGGCCGGGACCGGCUGCAGGGUUUCAGUUCGAGUUUGCUGGUACCUGGCUGGCUACUUCCUGAAAAUACUAUGUUCCCCACCCCCAAAAUCAUCUGUUUCGAAAAUAACAAAUAG